GACGAACGCUGGCGGCGUGCUUAACACAUGCAAGUCGAACGGAAAGGCCCUGCUUUUGUGGGGUGCUCGAGUGGCGAACGGGUGAGUAUCACGUGAGUAACCUGCCCUUGACUUUGGGAUAACUUCUGGAAACUGGGGCUAAUACCGGAUAGGAGCUCCUGCUGCAUGGUGGUGGUUGGAAAGUUUCGGCGGUUGGGUCUGGACUCGCGGUUUAUCAGCUUGUUGGUGGGGUAGUGGCUUACCAAGGCUUUGACGGGUAGCCGGCCUGAGAGGGUGACCGGCCACAGUGGGACUGAGAUACGGCCCAGACUCCUACGGGAGGCAGGAGUGGGGAAUAUUGCACAAUGGGCGGAAGCCUGAUGCAGCAACGCCGCGUGCGAGAUGACGGCCUUCGGGUUGUAAACCGCUUUCGCCUGUGACGAAGCGUGAGUGACGGUAAUGGGGAAAGAAGCACCGGCUAACUACGU
rnacentral:rRNA from 1 species